GUUAAUUGAAAAAAGAAGAAGAAAGCAGUUACUAGAUAUCCAUGAUUUUAUGGAGAAGCCAUAUUCUGUCAUAGAUGAGCUAUUUACAGACAUUCAAUGGCACAUUCUUUGACAAAGUGAAUCAUCACUGUCUAGUCUUUCUUGUAUAUGAAUUUGAAGUAUUGAUUAAAGUUGUAGCAUACCUGUAAUUUUAAAUUGUAAAACUUUAACACUCACAAAAGAACAUUGAAAGACUGCAAAUUUCUAGACUUGGAGGUUAUAAUUCCUUCUGUAUGUUACUACUAUCAGCUUAUAAAAUUUUAAAAAAUGUGAGUGUAGAAACUUAUAUAAACUGUAUUCACACAUGAAGGAUAGCCUAAAUGCUCCAGACUGAUAAUCUGAAGGUCAUUCUCACCUGGCUGAUUGAACUACUUUUAUUCAUAGAAGCCAAAGUUUUGAAAGGUACAGAUAGAAUCUUGACUACCUUGCAUUCGCAGUUACGUUUUAAUUGCAAAAUAACAAGCUCUUUAGUCACUGGAAACAAAACACUUUUAGCAUUUAACUUUAUAAUACUUGAAAUCCUACCUUGAAAGCAUUCAUACUCAUUAAAAGCUCAACACAUGAUCCAUGUUUACAUAAGGAUUUGGGUGUUACUUAAAAUGAUCAUGUAAUGAGCUGCUUCUCUGCAGAUUAAUAUUCACUCCCUUCCCUCAUCCUUAAUGUGGGAUCUUUGAAGGAAAAGGAAGUGACCAAACUAAAGACAUAGGGAAAUGCAAAAUCAAGGUGAAAAGUUACCCAGAGGGUUGUUUUAAUUUUGGCCAUCAACCCCCUAGUGAAUAAUGGUAACAGUAUUGUUUUGAGACCCAUUUUGUGGCAUUUACCUAUUGUUAAACUAAAUUGACUAGAUGUAAAUAUAUUUUCAUCUUCAGAUAUUUAGAAUUUCUAUCCUUCCCCAUUGUUUCUGGAUUUUGAUACUAAUCUUUUUUCUUUGCAUAUUGUAUAUAUUUACUCAACAACUAAUCUAAUUUUAGAUUUUUAGCUUAUCCACAUUUCAUUUUUGUUUAUUUCAUUGGUAUUUCAUCAAUACAAUGGCUCUACCCUUCAAGGAAAAAAAACAUCAGCCCGUCCCACAAAAAUGCAUAUAUUCAAGAAAGAUAAAUUACAUUGUGAUGAUUCAAUCAUAGUAAGUAUUCACCCCUGAAUUUCUUUAAGAAUAACUACUGUGUUCAAAAUAAUUUUUGUACUAAUAUUUCAUUUGAGAUAUUUUAUUUCUGUGGAAUAAAAAGAUUUAUCAUAGUAACAUCAAGCUUGUAUCUUGAACAAACAGCUCCAAAUAUAAUAAUACAAGCUCUACUUCAUGCAUUCAACAUGUAUUUAGAAACCUGGCUGGGCACAGUGGCUCACACCUGUAAUCCCAGCACUUUGGGAGGCCGAGGUGGGCAGAUCACUUGAGGUCAGGAGUUUGAAACCACCCUGGUCAACAUGGUGAAACCCUGUCUCUACUAAAAAUACAAAAAUUAGCUGGGCAUGUUGGCAGGCGCCUGUAAUCUCAGCUACUUGGGGGACUGAGGCACGAAAAUCACUUGAACCUGGGAGGCAGAGAUUGCAGUGAGCCAAGAUCAGACCACUGCACUCCAGUCUGGGUGACAGAACAAGACUCUGUAAGAAACCUACUGUGUUGGCCUCUUUGCUGGACUUGGGGAAAACAGUUGUGAACCAGAAAAGAAAAGCAAAGUCGUUGUUCAAAUAGGUCUUAUAUUUUAGUAGGGGAAACAACCACCAAAGAAAUAAGCAAAAAAAUAUAAUUUUAAAUAUUCAUAAGUGUUAAGAAAAAAAUGAAACAAUAAUGCAAGGUGGGAAAGGAGACAGUGUACCUUACUCAGAUGUACUGUAGGUAGGCCUGAGGAAAUGUUCUUUGAGCUAAGGACAAGCUCAUCAGGGGAGCAUUUGAGGAAGGGAGACAGAUGAGGCAAUGGCUUUGUGCUGGAAACCAGUAUGUGGUUGGAAGGGAGCAGGGGGCAUCUGAGUAGUAGGCAAGGGCUAGAUCAUAUGGACAUUGUUGGCCACGUAAAGGCACAGAUAUUUUAUUUUAAAUGCAUUGAGAAGCCACAGGCAGGUUAUAAGCAGAGGACUAACAUGAUCUGAUUUACAUUUACAAGGAAACCUUUUUAAAAAAUCUUAACCUCUAAUAGUUUAUAAUAUAUUGUGUAUUAUGUUUAGAGAGAUUUAAAAAUAACUUACAUGAUCAAAGACAAGUUUCUUUUUGUAGGGCUGUACUAUUUGUGUGAUAUCAAAAUGGAAGAAAUAUUUAACAAUCUAUAUGGCAUUUCUUACAGAGACUUAAUAACUUUGUUGCAAAAUGACUAAAUCUUUGUAAGAGAGAAAUCUUUUUCUCCAUGAAACCUUAACUUUAAUUUAAGGGCAGUGAUUUUGAUAUUUAAGAGAAGCUUGAAAUGCCCCACUUAAAAAAAAAAACAACUCUGGACAACAGUGAAAAAGAAGUCAUUUUGUUUAAAUGUAAUUAUUAAAUAAGUGUGACAAAAAUAGAGCUAAUUUUAGGGAUGCUCAGGGCUGAGACUCCUUUUCUUCAGUGGAUAAAAAUAUCCAUAGGCGCCGGGCGCGGUGGCUCACGCCUGUAAUCCCAGCACUUUGGGAGGCCGAGGCGGGCGGAUCACGAGGUCAGGAGAUCGAGACCAUCCUGGCUAACACGGUGAAACCCCGUCUCUACUAAAAAUACAAAAAAUUAGCCGGGCGUGGUAGCGGGCGCCUGUAGUCCCAGCUACUCGGGAGGCUGAGGCAGGAGAAUGGCGUGAACCCGGGAGGCGGAGCUUGCAGUGAGCCGAGAUCGCGCCACUGCACUCCAGCCUGGGCGACAGAGCGAGACUCCGUCUCAAAAAAAAAAAAAAAAAAAAAAAAAUAUCCAUAGGCAAAUCUAGGGACACUUUAAAUAAUUCAAGUAGUCAUAAAAGGGUCUCAGAGGAGGGAACCUCUUCUGGAAGAGGUAGGUGGAAAGGCCAUGCAUUUUGAUAUUGGUGGAUUGCUUUUCAUUUAGAAACUACUUUGUUUUCCUUGUCCAGUACAAUUGAACAGUAGAUGAUUUCUACUCCGUUUCAUGGGCUAUUUCUUUAUUAGCAAGGUUACACUCUUGAGCACCUGUGGGGACAACUGGCCUGGGCACUUUCUUCGUAUCUCCCUUUAUCUUCUCUCAACUCAGGCCUGUAUGUACAAAGGUUAAAUUUGUUCCUACUCAGUUAAAAUCUAAAGGAAGGCCACCAUAGGCCAUUACUUUCUCUAGAGCACACAAAGGUAAUCUGUUUUCCUAGUUGAACAUGGGAGAAGAAACACCUAGAUGUUUUAUACCAUAGGCUCCAAUGUAAAUGUGAAUAGGUGAUAUAAAUUCCAAGCAAAAAGAAGAAAGUUUGCUUAUCUUAUCCAAUACUUUUGAAAUAUAUUACUAUUUGAUGGCAUUUGGCAUUUUAUAAGAUAUGAUAAAAACUUAAGACUAAAAAAAGAAGGCCAGAUGCGGUGGCUCACGCCUGUAAUCCCAGCACUUUGGGAGGCUGAGGUAGGCGGAUCACCUGAGGUCAGGAGUUCGAGACCAGCCUGGCCAACAUGGUGAAACCCUGUCUCUGCUAAAAAUACCAAAAAUUAGCUGGGCAUGGUGGCAGGCACCUGUAAUCUCAGGUACAUGGCAGGCUGAGGCAGAAGAAUCACUUGAACUUGGGAGGCAGAGGUUGCAGUGAGACAAGAUUGUGCCAUUGCACUCCAGCCUGGGCAACAAGAGAGAAACUCCAUCUCAAUAAAAAAAAAGGAUAGCAUGCCAAAGUUAUUGCGUAAAUUCUUUAAAAGGGGUACACAUGUGCUCGUGUUGCAUUUUUGUUAAAUAUCAUCCUAAAACUUAGAUUAUUUUACAACUUAAUUAUAAAGCUUACGAAUCCUGAUCAUAUUGCUUUAAAAUAGCACCUUGUUAUGGGUAGAAAAAUAUUACCCAAACUUUAUAGCCCACCUUAUUAAUGAACUUUGCUUCUAGUUGACUUAUUUUAUUUAUUUAUUUAUUUAUUUAUUUAUUUAUUUAUUUAUUUUGGUGACAGAGUUUUGCUCUGUCUCCCAGGCUGGAGUGCAGUGGCGCGAUCUCAGCUCACUGCAACCUCUGCCUUCUGGGUUCAAGGGAUUCUCUUGCCUCAGCCUCCCGAGUAGCUGGGAUUACAGGCACAUGCCACCACACCUGACUAAUUUUUUGUAUUUUUAGUAGAGACAGGGUUUCACCAUUUCGGCUAGUCUGGUCUCAAACUCCUGACCUUCUAGUUGACUUCUGUUUUCAAAAGUCAAAAUCAUUUUGAAGAUGAACAUUUGUCAUUUGUUGAAAAUUUUUUAAAAUGUUAAAUAUGUUAGAAUACCAAGUAAAAAAAAAUUAAAAUUAUAUCAUGCCUUUUAAAAAUUACAUGUAUGCAUAGUAAAAGAAUUUGGGAGAAAUACGUUGGAACUUUAAUAAUGGCUAUCUCUAAGGGAUGAGGUAAUAGGCUUUUUUUUUUGCUUUAUAUAUUUUUUUCAAAAUUUCUGCAAUGAUCACAAAUCAUUUUUAUUUAAAUAUAUUACUUUUAUAUAUUUAAAAAAUGUGCCCACAGACUCCAGACUAAGCCAAAAAUAACUUUGUAAGGGUGUAUUAACAACAGCCAAGUUUAUAGUUUUAGCUGUUGUGAUAGAUGAUAGUUCAUAAAUGCUAUCCAAAGAUAAAUUGUCCCUUGGAAAUAGUAUAUAUUUGAAUGCCCUCAAAGAUAAUAUUAGAAAUAAUUGGUGCCUUUUCAGUUGAAUCAAACUAAUGCAGAGCAACUUUUAAGAGUCAAUUUAUGAAAUACAAGAGGAUUUUAGAACAGAAUUACAAGGACAGAAAGGACAGAAAAAUAAUUAAAAUAUUAGAAGCAAAGUUGAAAGAGAGUGGGACGUCAGGAGACUUUUGUUCUGUUACAGUCUCUGCAGCAUUGUGUCUAGUUGUGUGUCCCUGAACAGGUCAUAAUUUCGAUGGGCCUCAGUUUCUUUAACUGUAAAAUAAGAGUUGACUGAACAGAUGACUAUUUUCAGUGCCAAGACUUUAUGAAUCUAAAUUCCCCAAACAAAUUUGGAUUCUUGGUUUUACGUGCAGCAGUCAAUAUAUAAAUGGGUCCAGAAGAUGUCUUUGCUUCAGCUUUGGUAACACUCAAGUGUGCUGGUUAUUGCCUGAUUUCCUCUUCUCUAUCAUCUCCCUGCUCUUCUCUGCACUCUUGCAUUCCAGGAAUGGGAUGUUCUGGCCCUCAUUACCAGGGAUCCCCUUGUCUUCCCUGGGUUUAGCCAAUGAGAACUGCUGGCAGGAGGUCAGAGGGUAGUAGAAAAAAGAACUUGGGGUAUUUCUUUCCCCCUCCCUUUGAACUAGCCUGAGAUUCUGGUGGUGAUGGCAUUCCUCUACAACUGCAUACCCUAUCAGAUACCCGCCCAUGGCUCUAACUUUCAUUGGGCUGCUUCAGAUCCAGGUGUGGUGAUGGCAUCCCAAUGUACUAGCCCCUGAAUGCCUCAGCAUUCCUUGUUUGGCCUCUUAACUCUGCCCACAUUUCUGUAAUUGUUCUUUACAUUAGUUUGUACUCAAAAUCUCCUUGGAACUGUGCCUUCAGUUUCCUGCUAGGACUAGGUGAAUACAUCCAAGUCAUUUCUAUUUUUCUGAUUCCUACAACUUUGCUCAAAUUCAUUGUUUCCUGUCAUACUCAGAAUAAGAGUCAAGUCUUAACAAUAACCUACAAGAUUUGUGCUGUGCUCACCCUACUCCAGCCACAAUGAUCUCCUUGCUAUUCUUAUAGCCUACCAAUGUACCCUCCUGCCUCAGGACUUUUGCACUUACUAUACUUUCUCCUUAUUCCCUAAGCUAUUUGCAUGGCUAAUUCCCUUAUCUUCAGGUCUUGGCCCAAAUGUCACCUUUUCAGUGAGGACUUCCCUGACUACACUAUUUAAAACAGCAAGCCUCCACCUCCCAUCCCUCUUUUUGCUUGAUUUUUCUCUAGCACACUUAUAACCUUCUAAUAUACUACAUUAUUUACUUAUUUUGUUUGUUGUCUCUCUUCCCAUACUGAAGUGGAUUAUUCCAAGAGGGAGAGGGUUUUCAUCUGUCUUGUUCAUUCUUAUAUUCUCAGAGUGAAUAAUACAGCCUGGCACAUACUGGAUUCUAAGUAAAUAUUAUGUAAAUAAAUGUUCCAUUUUUACAACAUGCUACAACAAUUUUAUUCAUUAUUUAUGAAAGUAAAGUAAUAAACAUGCUGAAAAACAUGGAACAUUGGUAAAGUGGGAAAUUCCCUGCGAUGACAGAUACUUUUGGAACAUGUCUUUUUUUUUUUUUUUGAGAUGGAGUUUCGCUCUUGUUGCCCAGGCUGGAGUGCAAUGGUGUGAUCUCGGCUCACCACAACCUCCACCUCCCAGGUUCAAGCGAUUCUCCUACCUCAGCCUCCCGAGCAGCUGGGAUUACAGGCAUGCACCACCACACCUGGCUAAUUUUUGUACUUCUGGUAGAGAUGGGGUUUCUCCAUGUUGGUCAGGCUGGUCUCGAACUCCCGACUUCAGGUGAUCUGCCCACCUCCACCUCCCAAAGUGCUGGGAUCACAGGUGUGAGCCACCGCGCCUGGCCAAAACAUGUCUUUUAUAAAGGGGAUAAAAGAGAGAUACUAUUUUAAUUACAAGAUAAAAGUUUCUUUACCUUUUUAUUGAUGCAUUUUAUUUGUUGCAAAAUUUUCAGAAAAUAUGCAAGGUAUGUAUUGGAUCAUAUGUUGAAGUCCUUGAGAAAAUACCUUAUUUAGUAUUUAGAAAGUGUAAGAUUAAAAUCUUGAUCAAGAGUACGCAUUACUUUGACACUAGCUAUUCUUAAUCGUAUUUAAUUCAAGGCACAUUGACAUAUUUUAAAUAUUUGGUAUAAUGGCUAAAAUAACAUUUCCUUUGCAUAGAAAAAUCUAAAAAAUAUAGACACUGUAAGGGUAAAAACUUCUUAUUUAGUUUUUAAAAUGUAGGUCUAUAGAUAUGUCACUGUAGUAACAAAGUAUUAGGAAAAGCUCUAUUUUGAAUUCAUAGAGUCUAAAUGCUAUUGAUUAAUAAUGAAUACUUAGAUUUUUUAAAUGUCUUUUAUAGACUCAUUGGGCUUUGUUUUCUUCAUCUGUUUGGUUUGGCUGCUCUCAUUUACAUACUUGCUCUCAUUAGGGUUUGAAUUUCAGAGCUGGCCUCACUCUGCAAUGAGAACAAAUGUCUUGCCAUGUGAUACUAACUUUCCAUUACAUGCUGAAGCAUUUGCAGUCCCAGAGGCAAAGAAUUUAUGGUUGGUACAUGAGAGAUAGAACCAUCACAUAAAAGAAGCCAAAUUUGCAAUCAUAUUUUUCCUUAGUGCUAAUAUAGUUUCGGGAUAAUGAGAACUCAGAAUAAUCAGCUAAUGAUCAGAAAUGAAUCAUUAUUAAAACACUGUUUUUCUGGCAUAAAAUAGCUAAUGUUUCUAGUUGGUUGAUAAUUUUCAUAGCAACCAUGGUAUUUGGCACGUCCUAAACCACUUUUCACUAGAAGCCUUCAGACCCCACUGAAGCAGUUCAUUAUACUCUGAAACAGUUCUGAGAAUCAGGGAGAAUAAUAUACAAGUUUUGCUGAUAUUCUAUAGCUGUAUAGCCAGUAUCCUGUAGCAAAUACUUAAAAUUUCCUACAAGAUUUCUCAGUAAUUCUCCAGCCAAGUAGGAAAUUAAGUAGAUGCAGCAGAAGAGAUUAAAAAGUAUUGGAAGUCGAUCCCCAAGUUAGAGUUUGGUCACAAUUUCAAGCUUGUUUUAUUGUUUUUUAAAAAGUAAAUAAACAAGUUGUUUUAUACUUUAAUAAUAGGGUCACCAUUAAUAUAACAUUUACAUGGCAUCAUAUUUCCAAGGGAUUCUGUAUAUGUCCCAGCUUCUUGUUAUUACUGACUAUGCUCUGUGAGAUUUUUUGGCGGCAUAUAUUACUUUGGUUUUGGCCAGAAAGUCAAAGGAAAAGAGUAUUGAGAAUAGCAGCCAAUAACUAUGAAAACUCAUCACAGAUCUAUUCAUAUAUCUGGUCAUACCCUGCACACAUAUAGCACUGUAUGGUUGUCAAACUCUUGGCAUGCAUGAUAUCAUUUGAUCUUUAUAACCCUAUGUCUGUGUGACCUUGAGCAAAUCACUCAGCCCAUGGCUGUGACUCCUGUUUGGAAGCUGGGUUUAAUAGAUACCCUCUCCUAAGUCUAUAGGAAUGCUUCAGAAUUAAUAAUAGAGUAGUUCAAUGCAUUGUGAACUUUGUAAAAGAAAGGUAUUAUUAUAAAUGCAAAAUUAUUUUAUUCACCUAGCUUGGGACACUAAAAUUUAGGGAGACUAAGUGAGUUGGCUCUAAGUGUUUAACCACAUUGGUCCCAGGAAACACACAGAACCAUGGAUUAAAAGGUUGAUGUUUUCUAGUUUAGAUAAGAAGCAUGAGAUUUUAUCAUAAAGGGCAAAAUACUGCUCAUAAGUAGAGAAUAUUGUUUUCUAAAGAAUAUAACCAAAUAUUCAUUCUGAACCAUGAACUCACUAAUUUAAUUUAAAUGUGUCAAACAGUAUGAUUUUAUUAGUUAUUGAUCAAUAUUCAGGCUACAUGUAACAAUGGAUGACAACCAGUUUUCUUGAAAAGAUAUCCAAUUUGGAGGCAAUUAAUCCCAGAAUUAUUAUGAAUUACAUAAACUGAGAAGAUAAAUUGGUAAUAUUUCUGAUCAAAAUAAUAUUUUCCAAAUACAUAUAUUUUCUGAGUAAUAUUGUAUAAACAAUAAAGUGGUCAAUCUUGUCACUAAUGUUUCAUAUAGCUCACAUAUUAGAAUAAAACCUACUUAAGAACAUCAGAUAUUUGAUAAGAUGUGUCAGUUUCAAUUAAGCUAGGUUUUGUACCAGCCUAAUAAAUAAAGAACAAUAAUUCAGAAGCUAGGAAAUAUAAUUUCAUUGAAAGAUGGAAAGGAAUGAGUAUCUAGCAUGAGCCAGGCAGUGUGGUAAAUACAUUUUAAAUGUGACUUUAUUUAAUCUCUACAACAGCUCUGUAGGAUAAACAUUAUUAUCUCUAAUUUAGAGAUAAAGAAAUCGAACCUUCAAGAGAUUGAGGGCUUCCUCAAGAGUUUGUAAAUCAGAGCCAUAAUUGACCUGGAUCUGAGUGAUACCCAGGUAUAUGUUCUCUCCAUUACUCCAUUUUAUAAUUUAGGAACCACCAGAUCAGAUGUUCCCAAAUUUGUGAAGAGGAACUACAUUCUGGUUUUUUGUUUUGUUUUGAAACCUCAUAUUGGUGGAGGGAGGGGCCAGGAGAAAGAGGUUGAACCUGAUGUGGGUGAAUGUGAGGAUAAGGGCCCCUGAUAGUGAGGGGCUACAGGCAUGCGCCAGCAGGGCCGGCUAAUUAUUUUUUUUAAAGCUCUUGUAGAGAUGCAGUUCCUCACUUUGUUGUCCAGGUUGGUCUCAAACUCCUGGGUUCAAGCAAUCCUCCUGCCUUGGCCACCCAAAAUGCUGGGAUUACAGGUGUGAGGUUCUUCACAGGGGAAUGAAGUGAGCAGAAAGUAGCUGCUUGCCAAGUGAAAGAAGCAAUGGACCAAUAUAGGCUUUGAGGUGCACUUGUAAGCUGGUGUGUUGGGAACUGCCGACGUGGUUAGAUGAUGCUCUCUGAUGGUCUUUCUGUUAUAUUAAGGAGUAGAGAUUUAAAAAUAUUAGAUAAUUUUAUGUUUCUAUUGCUAAAUUGGGGUUGGGGGGGAUGUUGGUCUGUCAUUCUAUUUCACUUCAAAUGAAGAUGCAUUUUUAUCUGGAACGUAUGUGGAACUGUCUUGGAAUUUGACUCUGCCGGGUCAGAUUAUGUCCACACAGCAUACAAGCAAAUUCCCAGGAUACCAGGUUGCUGUUUGAGGUUGGCUGCUGCUAAUUCCUCUCCUAGAGAAGAGGACACUCUAGUUCUAGCCCCAGCUCUGCAACUGGCAGAUCACCUCAGCUCUCUGGGCCUCUGUUCUUCCUCCUCUGAAAAAUAAGGAGGCUGAACUAGACAAUUCCUAGGCCUCACUUUCAGUCCUUCUGUUCUGCAGUUCCAUGAGAAACAGAAAGCACAGUUUAUCCUUUAAGCCCUCUAAAAGGCAAAAAAAAAAAAAAAAAAAAAAACUAAAACAAUUACCUUCCAUGGUAAAACUGUCUGCUAUAUACAUUUUAAUGUUCCAAAGGAUUAAAGUCCAUCAAUCUUGUAGACUUGUUGGGAAACAAGUCGGUUGGCAUUUUCAUACACUUUUUAUUUCACUGUGUUUUAGCAUUAUUAGAAAAUUUUUCUGUAGAGGAAAAUUUUGCUAGGAGUUAAUUCAAUUUUUUUUUACAUCUGAUUUUGAAAUUUAAAGUAAAUCACUUGUUUUGAGUAUCUUAUGUAGAUGCUUUUUAAGCCACAAAUAAUUUUGUCAAACUUUGCAAAAGUACACUCUGCCCUCAGAAGUUAUUUUAGGUACAAAUUACUUGUUAUGUUAAAUUGAAUAGAUGAAAAUUUAAAUGCUGUAAUAUUUAAGUUAUUCCAACAUAUACACUUUGAUGAUGAAUACAUGCUAACUGGAAACAUUUUACUGUAGUCUUACUUUAUGGUUUUCUACUAAUAAUGUUCAUAAAUUCAUGAAUGGGUGGAUAAUCUUGGUAAGAAAAUGAAAAGGCUUUUAAUUGUGUAAAAAUAUGGAUUUGUCUUCUUCUGGAGUUGUUGCUUGCUCAGCAGACACGUGUUGAGUCCUGCUAACUUGACAAGCACUGCACCACUUGCUGAGAUUACAAAGAUAAGUAAGAUAUGCUCUGUGGCUCUGGAAAAUCAAAAGCUAGUAGAAGAUGCCUGUAGUUCAUCUGGAAAAAGAGAGCUUAUAAAGUUUUUUCUACAAUAUGACCUCAUUUGAACAUAUGGGGUGCUGUUAUUCUUUUCCUUAUUUUACACAGGAAACUGAGUCUCAUGGAGGUUAAGUUAUAAUGCUCAACUUGUUAUUACUUGCCCAGUAUCUGUUGUCCCUUAAACAAGGACUGACACCAUGUCUAUCUUUUUCAUUCUGUAGUUCCAGUACAGUACCUGGCACAUAAUAGGUGUUCCAUUUGAGCACCUAUUUGAUGGAUUAAUAAAUCCAUCAAACAUAUUUGAUGGAUAAUAGCUCCAACAAAUAUUGGAUCAUAGGAAAGCAUUACUAGCAUUAGUCUUCUUACUCUUGAAAAGCUACUCAAGGAUGUGCUCCACCAAAAUGAGGAUAUGAAGCCAAUAUAAAGGAAGGCAAUGAAUACAAGAGACAGGCAAAGGGAGUUCCCAGGACGUAAGCAAGGGACGUCCCAGGUAGCAAGCGUGCACCUGGUGUCCAGGGCCAUCUGUCCAGGCUGGAGAGCAAUAGCGUGAUCUCGGCUCACUGCAACCUCCACCUCCUGAGUUCAAACAAUUCUCCUGCUUCAGGAUCCUGAGUAGCUGGGAUUACAGGGAGAAGUCAGCUGCCAUGUCAUGAAGACGCUCGAGUAGCCCUAUGAGAUUCCCAUGUGAGCAGAAAUUGAGUCCUCCUGCCAACAAUCAGCCAUAAUUUGCAAGACACAUACAUGAGCUACCUUAGAAGAGAAUCCCUGGGCCCCAGAUAAGCCUUCAGGCAUGGUGGCUCACUCCUGUAAUGCCAGCACUUUGGGAAGCCGACGUGGGUUGAUCACUUGAGCCCAGGAGUUCAAGACUAGCCUGGCCAACAUGGCUAAAGCCCGUCUCUACUAAAAAUACAAAAAUUAACUGGGCAUGGUGGUACACACCUGUAAUCCCAGCUACCCAGGAAGAUGAGGUACAAAAAUCGCUGGAACCUGGGAGGAGGAUGUUGCAGUGAGCUGAGAUUGAGCCACUGCCCUCCAGCCUGGGCAACAGAGACUCUGUUUCAGAAACAAAAACAAAAACAAAAGCAACAACAAAAAAAAUUCCUAUUGAAAUUUAACUUACAUGUGAUAAAAUUAA